rnacentral:rRNA from 1 species
AGCGGCGGACGGGUGAGUAACACGUGGAUAACCUACCUAUAAGACUGGGAUAACUUCGGGAAACCGGAGCUAAUACCGGAUAAUAUUUUGAACCGCAUGGUUCAAAAGUGAAAGACGGUCUUGCUGUCACUUAUAGAUGGAUCCGCGCUGCAUUAGCUAGUUGGUAAGGUAACGGCUUACCAAGGCAACGAUGCAUAGCCGACCUGAGAGGGUGAUCGGCCACACUGGAACUGAGACACGGUCCAGACUCCUACGGGAGGCAGCAGUAGGGAAUCUUCCGCAAUGGGCGAAAGCCUGACGGAGCAACGCCGCGUGAGUGAUGAAGGUCUUCGGAUCGUAAAACUCUGUUAUUAGGGAAGAACAUAUGUGUAAGUAACUGUGCACAUCUUGACGGUACCUAAUCAGAAAGCCACGGCUAACUACGUGCCAGCAGCCGCGGUAAUACGUAGGUGGCAAGCGUUAUCCGGAAUUAUUGGGCGUAAAGCGCGCGUAGGCGGUUUUUUAAGUCUGAUGUGAAAGCCCACGGCUCAACCGUGGAGGGUCAUUGGAAACUGGAAAACUUGAGUGCAGAAGAGGAAAGUGGAAUUCCAUGUGUAGCGGUGAAAUGCGCAGAGAUAUGGAGGAACACCAGUGGCGAAGGCGACUUUCUGGUCUGUAACUGACGCUGAUGUGCGAAAGCGUGGGGAUCAAACAGGAUUAGAUACCCUGGUAGUCCACGCCGUAAACGAUGAGUGCUAAGUGUUAGGGGGUUUCCGCCCCUUAGUGCUGCAGCUAACGCAUUAAGCACUCCGCCUGGGGAGUACGACCGCAAGGUUGAAACUCAAAGGAAUUGACGGGGACCCGCACAAGCGGUGGAGCAUGUGGUUUAAUUCGAAGCAACGCGAAGAACCUUACCAAAUCUUGACAUCCUUUGACAACUCUAGAGAUAGAGCCUUCCCCUUCGGGGGACAAAGUGACAGGUGGUGCAUGGUUGUCGUCAGCUCGUGUCGUGAGAUGUUGGGUUAAGUCCCGCAACGAGCGCAACCCUUAAGCUUAGUUGCCAUCAUUAAGUUGGGCACUCUAAGUUGACUGCCGGUGACAAACCGGAGGAAGGUGGGGAUGACGUCAAAUCAUCAUGCCCCUUAUGAUUUGGGCUACACACGUGCUACAAUGGACAAUACAAAGGGCAGCGAAACCGCGAGGUCAAGCAAAUCCCAUAAAGUUGUUCUCAGUUCGGAUUGUAGUCUGCAACUCGACUACAUGAAGCUGGAAUCGCUAGUAAUCGUAGAUCAGCAUGCUACGGUGAAUACGUUCCCGGGUCUUGUACACACCGCCCGUCACACCACGAGAGUUUGUAACACCCGAAGCCGGUGGAGUAACCUUUUAGGAGCUAGCCGUCGAAGGUGGGACAAAUGAUUGGGGUGAAGUCGUAACAAGGUAGCCGUAUCGGAAGGUGCGGCUGGAUCACCUCCUUU